rnacentral:rRNA from 1 species
AGGGCGCAUGGAGGAUGCCUAGGCUCUCGGAGGCGAAGAAGGACGUGAUAAGCUGCGAAAAGUUACGGUAAGGCGCAAAUAGCCGUAGACCCGUAAAUAUCCGAAUGGGGCAACCCGGCCAGCAAUGGCCAUACCGCCAAGCGGUAAGCCAACGCGGGGAACUGAAACAUCUAAGUACCCGCAGGAAAAGAAAAUAACAAUGAUUCCGCCAGUAGUGGCGAGCGAACGCGGAACAGCCCAAACCACCCGUGUUACGGCACGGGUGGGGUAGAAGGAUCCACGACACGGCAAGAAAUAAGUUAGCGGAAUACGAUGGAAAUCGUAGCCAGAGACGGUGACAGCCCGGUACGCGAAAACUGACAGAAGCCCAGUGGACACCUGAGUAACCCAGGACACGAGAAAUCCGGGGCGAAUCAGCGGGGCCCAUCCCGUAAGGCUAAAUACUCCCGAGAGACCGAUAGCGAACCAGUACUGUGAAGGAAAGGUGAAAAGAACCUCGAACAGAGGAGUGAAACAGACCCUGAAACCAUGCGCCUACAAGCGGUCGGAGCAUGUUAAAGUGUGACGGCGUGCCUUUUGCAUAAUGAACCUACGAGUUACUCUCGCUGGCAAGGUUAAGCGAUUCAGUCGCGCAGCCGAAGCGAAAGCAAGUCCGAACAAGGCGUACAGUCAGCGGGAGUAGACGCGAAACCAAGUGAUCUACCCUUGGUCAGGUUGAAGGUUGGGUAACACCAACUGGAGGACCGCACCGAUAAGCGUUGAAAAGCUUACGGAUGAACUGAGGGUAGGAGUGAAAGGCCAAUCAAACUUGGAGAUAGCUCGUACUCCCCGAAAUGCAUUUAGGUGCAGCCUCGAAGCAGAGUGAUAGAGGUAGAGCGACUGAUAAGAUGCGAGGGCUUCACCGCCUAUCAAGUCUUGACAAACUCCGAAUACUAUCACUUGGUCUUCGGGAGUGAGGGCAUGGGUGCUAAGGUCCAUGUCCGAAAGAGGAACAACUCAGACCACCGGCUAAGGUCCCGAAAUAAGGGCUAAGUUGAACAAACGAAGUAAAACUGCAAAGACAGCUAGGAUGUUGGCUUGGAAGCAGCCAUUCAUUUAAAGAGUGCGUAACAGCUCACUAGUCGAGGAGUUUUGCAUGGAUAAUAAUCGGGCAUAAGCCCUUUACCGAAGCUGUGGAUGUCGUAAGACAUGGUAGGGGAGCAUUCCGGCGGCGACGAAGGCCGUCCUCGAGGACGACUGGAGCUUUCGGAAAAGCAAAUGUAGGUAUAAGUAACGAUAAAGGGGGCGCGAAACCCCCUCGCCAUAAGACUAAGGAUUCCUGAUCAACGCUAAUCGGAUCAGGGUAAGUCGGGCCCUAAGGCGCAGCCGAACGGCGCAGCCGAUGGAAGAAACGGUAAAGAUUCCGUUACUGGAUAUAGGAGCGAUGUGGAGACGGAGAAGUGACACACCCGCCUGCCGACGGAAGCGCAGGUUAAAGGAAGUAGGUAAACGCCGGGCAGGCAAAUCCGCCCAGCGUGCCGAAGCUGACAGUAUCGAGAGCCCCCGGGCAAUCGAAUAGCGGUGGUAACCAGGCUCCCAAGAAAAUCCGCUAAGCAUAUUCUAUAUCCACCCGUACCCCAAACGGACACACGUAGUCGGGUAGAAUAUACCAAGGCGCUCGAAAGACUCACGGUUAAGGAACUAGGCAAAUUGACCCUGUAACCUCGGGAAAAAGGGUCCCCAGUAAGAUGGGGCGCAGAGAAUAGGUCCAGGCAACUGUUUAACAAAAACACAGGGCUGUGCGAAAUUUCAAGAUGAAGUAUACAGCCUGACACCUGCCCGGUGCCGGAAGGUUAAGAGGAGAGCUUAUCGCAAGAGAAGGCUUGAAUUGAAGCCCCGGUAAACGGCGGCCGUAACUAUAACGGUCCUAAGGUAGCGAAAUUCCUUGUCGGGUAAGUUCCGACCUGCACGAAUGGUGUAAUGAUCUGGACACUGUCUCAACCGUGACUUCGGUGAAAUUGUAGUAUCGGUGAAGAUGCCGAUUACCCGCAACGGGACGAAAAGACCCCGUGAACCUUUACUGCAACUUAGCAUUGCGUUUGGGCAUUUGAUGUGUAGGAUAGUCCGGAGGCUACGAGCCGGCGACGCCAGUCGUCGGGGAGCCGCUGUUGAAAUACGGACCUUCGAAUGUUUGAGCGCUAACUCGCAGGAGCGAGGACACUGUUUGGUGGGUAGUUUGACUGGGGUGGUCGCCUCCAAAAGCGUAACGGAGGCUUCU